CAGCGACUUAUAUUCUGUAGCAAGGUUAACCGUAUAGGGGAGCCGCAGGGAAACCGAGUCUUAACCGGGCGUUAAGUUGCAGGGUAUAGACCCGAAACCCGGUGAUCUAGUCAUGGGCAGGUUGAAGGUUGGGUAACACUAACUGGAGGACCGAACCGACUAAUGUUGAAAAAUUAGCGGAUGACCUGUGGCUGGGGGUGAAAGGCCAAUCAAACCGGGAGAUAGCUGGUUCUCCCCGAAAGCUAUUUAGGUAGCGCCUCGUGAAUUCAUCUCCGGGGGUAGAGCACUGUUUCGGCUAGGGGGCCAUCCCGGCUUACCAACCCGAUGCAAACUGCGAAUACCGGAGAAUGUUAUCACGGGAGACACACGGCGGGUGCUAACGUCCGUCGUGAAGAGGGAAACAACCCAGACCGCCAGCUAAGGUCCCAAAGUCAUGGUUAAGUGGGAAACGAUGUGGGAAGGCCCAGACAGCCAGGAUGUUGGCUUAGAAGCAGCCAUCAUUUAAAGAAAGCGUAAUAGCUCACUGGUCGAGUCGGCCUGCGCGGAAGAUGUAACGGGGCUAAACCAUGCACCGAAGCUGCGGCAGCGACACUCAGGUGUUGUUGGGUAGGGGAGCGUUCUGUAAGCCUGCGAAGGUGGCCUGUGAGGGUUGCUGGAGGUAUCAGAAGUGCGAAUGCUGACAUAAGUAACGAUAAAGCGGGUGAAAAGCCCGCUCGCCGGAAGACCAAGGGUUCCUGUCCAACGUUAAUCGGGGCAGGGUGAGUCGACCCCUAAGGCGAGGCCGAAAGGCGUAGUCGAUGGGAAACGGGUUAAUAUUCCCGUACUUGGUGUUACUGCGAAGGGGGGACGGAGAAGGCUAUGUUGGCCGGGCGACGGUUGUCCCGGUUUAAGCGUGUAGGUGUGUGUUCCAGGUAAAUCCGGUU
rnacentral:rRNA from 1 species